GACGAACGCUGGCGGCGUGCUUAACACAUGCAAGUCGAGCGAUGAAGUUCCUUCGGGAAUGGAUUGGCGGCGGACGGGUGAGUAACACGUGGGUAACCUGCCUCAUAGAGGGGAAUAGCCUUUCGAAAGGAAGAUUAAUACCGCAUAAGAUUGUAGUAUCGCAUGAUACAGCAAUUGAAGGAGUAAUCCGCUAUGAGAUGGACCCGCGUCGCAUUAGCUAGUUGGUGAGGUAACGGCUCACCAAGGCGACGAUGCGUAGCCGACCUGAGAGGGUGAUCGGCCACAUUGGGACUGAGACACGGCCCAGACUCCUACGGGAGGCAGCAGUGGGGAAUAUUGCACAAUGGGGGAAACCCUGAUGCAGCAACGCCGCGUGAGUGAUGACGGUCUUCGGAUUGUAAAACUCUGUCUUCAGGGACGAUAAUGACGGUACCUGAGGAGGAAGCCACGGCUAACUACGUGCCAGCAGCCGCCGUAACAC
rnacentral:rRNA from 1 species